GGGGGUAUAGCUCAGUGGUAGAGCAGCCGACUGCAGAUCGGCAGGUCACCGGUUCAAGCCCGGUUGCCCCCU
rfam:Hypsibius dujardini strain Z151 scaffold0052, whole genome shotgun sequence.